CAGCAGCAGCCGCGGGAAUACGUAGGGUGCAAGCGUUAAUCGGAAUUACUGGGCGUAAAGCGUGCGCAGGCGGUUUGUUAAGACAGAUGUGAAAUCCCCGGGCUCAACCUGGGAACUGCAUUUGUGACUGGCAAGCUAGAGUCUGGCAGAGGGGGGUGGAAUUCCGCGUGUAGCAGUGAAAUGCGUAGAUAUGCGGAGGAACACCGAUGGCGAAGGCAGCCCCCUGGGCCAACACUGACGCUCAUGCACGAAAGCGUGGGGAGCAAACAGGAUUAGAGACCCCCGUAGUCCCUGUCUCUUAUAC
rnacentral:rRNA from 1 species